rnacentral:snoRNA from 12 species
GCGUGCCAAUGAUGAUCGAAAAGCGUCGGUGAAUUCUGGAUGAAUGCGCUUGUGCACCGACCAGUGUGCAGCUAUGCAUGGUGAUAUCACCUGCGUAAUACAUCUGAGGCACGC